CGCGGGGUAGCUCAGCGGUAGAGCAGCAGACCCAUAAUCUGCCCGUCGCCGGUUCGAUUCCGGCCCCCGCAUCCC
rnacentral:tRNA from 1 species